GAUGAACGCUGGCGGCGUGCCUAAUACAUGCAAGUCGAGCGAACAGACGAGGAGCUUGCUCCUCUGACGUUAGCGGCGGACGGGUGAGUAACACGUGGAUAACCUACCUAUAAGACUGGGAUAACUUCGGGAAACCGGAGCUAAUACCGGAUAAUAUAUUGAACCGCAUGGUUCAAUAGUGAAAGACGGUUUUGCUGUCACUUAUAGAUGGAUCCGCGCCGCAUUAGCUAGUUGGUAAGGUAACGGCUUACCAAGGCAACGAUGCGUAGCCGACCUGAGAGGGUGAUCGGCCACACUGGAACUGAGACACGGUCCAGACUCCUUCGGGAGGCAGCAGUAGGGAAUCUUCCGCAAUGGGCGAAAGCUUGACGGAGCAACGCCGCGUGAGUGAUGAAGGUCUUCGGAUCGUAAAACUCUGUUAUUAGGGAAGAACAAAUGUGUAAGUAACUAUGCACGUCUUGACGGUACCUAAGCAGAAAGCCACGGCUAACUACGU
rnacentral:rRNA from 1 species